GUUAAUCAAAUGAAAAAUAAGUGAAAACAUUAAUUUUCUUAUCGUGACGAAGCCCGCAAGCAAAACAGAGCCAAAGCUGAAAGAUGAGAUGGUAAAGUAGUCAGAGGUUAUUCCGCGGAGAUGACAUCUGUUCGUAGUGAAAUCAUUACACAGAAAUUGUUUCCUAAAAUUGUGCAAAUUUCCAAACAUUAACAUAAUCCAUAGAGAUCCAUAGACGAUUCAAAUCAUUGAAAGCGUCUUGCCUCAUUCUUUGUAAUUUUUAACCCUUGAUUUUCAAAAAAAAGGGUUGUUCGAAACGCAUUCGGCGUAAUCACCUGCAGGUCAUUGCGGAAUUUCACAAUCUAACAUGUCCGGUGGGCGAGGAACAGUGGGGGAAAAGCCAGCUCAGAUAAUGCUAUGGAUCUGUACCAUCGGCACCGUGGCAGGUCUUUGGAUGACUGGAGCGAACAGACAGUUGCAAAACAGGGAAAAAAAGAAAAGUUUGGACGAUAAACUCAAGGAGUUGGAUUCAAUUCCAGUCUCCUCUGAUAAAAGCACAGUAGAAAAAUGAUACACCAAAAGAGUUCUAUCAGGCAAGGGAUCAAAUUUGAUUUAGUCGCCCACUUUAGAUUGAUUCAGGGCUGGAAUUUGAUUUAUUGGUUCACUUUAUGUUGAACUAGGUCCGACAUUUGAUUUGUUGGUCUAGUUUAGAUUGACUUAGGGCUGAAGUUUGAUUUGUUAGUGCUUCAUUAGAUUGUUUUUUACAUGUCUCGCAAAUUAAUGAUUGAAACCUUUUGGCUCAUUUGCAAUGUGAUUUUUUGAUAGUGUCGCAAAAGGGUUGUUUUAUAUCUUUCUGCACUUAAACUAUAAUAAGGACUGCAUUUGGGCUGAAACAGUAUUUAUUGGCCUA